rnacentral:rRNA from 1 species
UACAGAGGGUGCAAGCGUUAAUCGGAAUUACUGGGCGUAAAGCGUGCGUAGUCGGUUAUCUAAGUCGGAUGUGAAAUCCCCGGGCUCAACCUGGGAAUUGCAUUCUAUACUGGAUAGCUAGAGUUCGGCAGAGGGAAGUGGAAUUUCGGGUGUAGCGGUGAAAUGCGUAGAUAUCCGAAGGAACAUCAGUGGCGAAAGCGACUUCCUGGACCAGAACUGACGAUCAGGCACGAAAGCGUGGGGAGCAAACAGG